AUAUUCUUUUCCCUCCAAUCUCAACCCUUCAUCAUACACAAUCUAAUGGUUCAAAAUUAUCUCUCUCACAAACUAACUUUUAGUGGCAUUUUGGUAAAUACACUGAAUUUGCAAUGGCAAAAAUCGAGACACGUCACACCCCAUCUUAGCCGAACCAGGUAUGAAAUCUUACGUCUAAAAUAUCUCUCUCUCUCUCAUCCCCUCCAUCUCAGGACCUCCAUCUCUGGGGAUGGUCCUCAUCGCCGAACCCUUCUUUGGUGAACAACCCACCGAAGUUGGACACCACGACCCAAAUCGCCGCGAAUGACCUCGGCAGGAUCGAUCCCAUUAAAGGGUAUAGACUCGGAAAAGUGGACUCAACAUAAACCCAGUUAGGUGUAUGUAAUCGUGCAAAUCAAGGUAUCUCAGGACCUCCAUCUCUGGGGAUGGUCCUCAUUGCUGAACCCUUUUUUGGCGAGCAACCCACCGAAGUUGGACACCACGAAUGACCUCGGCAGGUGUAUUUUGUGUAUCAUAACGGAAAACUAGAAGGUAUUUUCUUUCCUCUUUUAUUUUCUUAGUUUGCUGCAUUUUAGUUCUAUAUAAAUUUUUGCUUGAGUAAUCAAUUUUGUUCAUUGUUUAGCAACCCUUAACCAGUACAACGAAAGGCCAAGUAUGGCCAAACAACCACUACAGCUAACAAAAGGGGCCAAUUGACAGGGAUUUAUUUACUUUCCUUUAUUUUUGGUUAAAUUGGGGAUGACUUAAGGGACGGGAAACAGGUAGUAAUUUUGGGCUCAUUAAAGUUGUUCUACGUUUCCAUGACUGCUUAUUGUGUUUGUAUUGAAUCAGUAGUUUUGAUUGCCACAUGAAGCCUAUAAUUUUGCACUUGGAUUGUUAAGGAAAAAACCGAAAUAAAAAAAAAAAAACCCAAAAAAACCGAAAUCAAGCAAGAGGAAUUAUGUCAAAAAUUUUCAAGCUUUCUUUGUUAGGAAAAUGCUAUGGCUAUUAAUUUCUUUCCUGAAUGUAGAUCGAUAAUCUCCUUAUGAGGUUGUUCAUGGACUAUUUGUGUGUGUGAUUAUUGGCAAGUGUUUACUACAAAACUCUUUUUUUGUUUUGCUUUUGAAUUAAUUCUCUCUGUUGCAUGAGUGUUACUAAUUACUAGAUGAGUGGGAAUUUUAACAAGCCAUGGGAAUAUAGAGAGGGAAUUAAUGCAAAUCUGAUGGCCAUAAUCCACUUUUAUGGGUAGGAGUUGGAUAGGGGUGGGUAUGUCAUUUGCAGUCAGAUUUCAGUCCUUCAAAGUUGAACCAUUUUCAGAAUUUCAAUACAAACAUUGUGGCCAUGGUCUCCUCCAUUUCGAACUGGUUUUGAGGAAUGGUUCGAUCCUAAUGCGAUCUUUCUUGAAGCUAUAGAGAGUUUCUGGAAGUUUCUUUGUAGAUUCACGAUUAUGAUGCAAUCUAACAGAGGUCUAACGUUGCCGGUUUGUAUAUAUAAUAUAUAUAUACACACACUUGGAUCAGUGACGGGGAUUUGAGGUUUAAUGGUGUUUCAUGAAUUGUUUGAUUGAUGUCUUGUUAUAUUCAUGUUGUUAGCCUUCCGCUUGUGUUGGCUCCUUCCCAAUUGGUUUCUUGUAUCUUCUCAUGGGUUUGGGCUGCAUAUGAUUUGUCCAAAUUAAUCAUGUGUGUUAAUAUAGUUGAGAUGUGUAUGUGCAAGGUCUCAGUUGUGAUGCUA